rnacentral:rRNA from 1 species
CCUACGGGCGGCAGCAGUGAGGAAUAUUGGUCAAUGGGCGCGAGCCUGAACCAGCCAAGUCGCGUGAGGGAAGACGGUCCUAUGGAUUGUAAACCUCUUUUGUCGGGGAGCAAAAGACGCCACGCGUGGCGUUCCGAGAGUACCCUAAGAAAAAGCAUCGGCUAACUCCGUGCCAGCAGCCGCGGUAAUACGGAGGAUGCGAGCGUUAUCCGGAUUUAGUGGGUUUAAAGGUUGCGUAGGCGGAAUGCGAAGUCAGCGGUAAAAUCGCGGGGCUCAACCGCGCUCCGCCGGUGAAACUGGCGUUGUUGAGUGGGAGAGAAGUAUGCGGAAUGCGUGUGGGAGCGGUGAUAGGCAUAGAUAUCACGCAGAACUCAGAUUGCGAAGGCAGCAUACCGGCGCACAACUGACGCUGAAGCACGAAAGCGUGGGUAUCGAACAGGAUUAGAUACCCGUGUAGUC